GACAUGGUGGCCUAAUGGUUAGAGCUGUGGACUCUGGAUUGAGUGGUCUGGGUUCGAGCCAGUAGCCGGGGUCA